AUUUUAGGAUCAAAAGAAGUCAUGCUCAUAUGUUUCUCAUGAUCAAUGAGCUUCGUUUGGUAGAACAGUCACUGAUAUUCUUUAUACAUUCUUGCACGACUUUAUGUAUCUAUCACUUAUUAACUUAUCAUCUUAUUAUAAAAUUAACUUAUUAUGAAUAGUCAAAUUAUGUUUUCAUAAGUAAGAUUUAAUCGUUAAUUUUGCAUUCUAUCCAAAUAAUUUAUAUACAAAUGCUGGUACAAGAUGGACAUUGG
rnacentral:lncRNA from 1 species